ensembl:lncRNA
ACAGGUAGGGUCAGUCAGUCAGUCAGUCAGGUAGUAGUAUAUAGUGAGUUAUAUCUACAGGUAGGGUCAGUCAGCCAGAGUAGUGUAUAGUGAGUCAUAUCUACAGGUAGGGUCAGUCAGUCAGUCAGGUAGUAGUAUAUAGUGAGUCAUAUCUCCAGGUAGGGUCAGUCAGUCAGUCAGGCAGUAGUAUAUAGUGAGUCAUAUCUACAGGUAGGGUCAGUCAGGUAGUAGUGUAUAGUGAGUCAUAUCUACAGGUAGGAUCAGUCAGGUAGUAGUGUAUAGUGAGUUAUAUCUACAGGUAGGGUCAGUCAGGUAGUAGUAUAUAGUGAGUCAUAUCUACAGGUAGGGUCAGUCAGCCAGAGUAGUGUACAGUGAGUCAUAUCUACAGGUAGGGUCAGUCAGUCAGGUAGUAGUAUAUAGUGAGUCAUAUCUACAGGUAGGGUCAGUCAGGUAGUAGUAUAUAGUGAGUCAUAUCUACAGGUAGGGUCAGUCAGGUAGUAGUAUAUAGUGAGUCAUAUCUACAGGUAGGGGUCAGUCAGGUAGUAGUAUAUAGUGAGUCAUAUCUACAGGUAGGGUCAGUCAGGUAGUAGUGUAUAGUGAGUCAUAUCUCCAGGUAGGGUCAGUCAGUCAGCCAGUC